UCGGCCUCCGCAGCUCCUGAAUGAGAUAGUCCACGUUCUCCUUGGUGGGCCGCAGGAAGCAGACGGCCUUCAGGUGCUUCAUGGGCUCCCUGCCGGGGGAGUCGAUCCGCUCGAAGAGGUACACCUCCUUCUGCAGGAUCUCGGACUGCGUGUACACCAUGCUGACCGCGCCGGGCGUCUCCCGGUCCAUCAGGAGCACCUUCAUGCCCGGUCCGCUGUCCUCGAUCAUUUUCGACACGUACUGCUUCACGGCGAGCACCGCGUUCAUCUCCGCUGUACGGCUCAGCCCCGCUCCGCUCCGCCGUGCGCCCGCCAGGCCGUGCAGCCCUCCAGCGGCAGGGGACGGCGGGAGCAGCCCGGGGACGGACUACAGCUCCCGGCAUGCCGCGCGGCGCUGCACUUCCGCCCUUGCGCGCCCCAAGGCGCUGGACUACAGCUCCCGGCAUGCCGCGCGGCGCGCUCCUCUCUCUGCUUUCCGGGUAGCAAAG
rnacentral:lncRNA from 1 species